rnacentral:rRNA from 1 species
ACGGCAGCGCGGGCUUCGGCCUGGCGGUUAGUGGCGAACGGGUGAGUAAUAUAUCGGAACGUACCCAAGAGUGGGGGAUAACGUAGCGAAAGUUACGCUAAUACCGCAUACGAUCUAAGGAUGAAAGCAGGGGACCGCAAGGCCUUGUGCUCCUGGAGCGGCCGAUAUCUGAUUAGCUAGUUGGUGAGGUAAAGGCUCACCAAGGCAACGAUCAGUAGCUGGUCUGAGAGGACGACCAGCCACACUGGAACUGAGACACGGUCCAGACUCCUACGGAAGGCAGCAGUGGCGAAUUUUGGACAAUGGGGGCAACCCUGAUCCAGCAAUGCCGCGUGAGUGAAGAAGGCCUUCGGGUUGUAAAGCUCUCUUGUC